rnacentral:rRNA from 1 species
AUGAAAUGCAUUGGCCUUCCAUUUUUGACAAUUCUAGUUUUUCAAAUUUUCCAAAUCAUCAAUCAAGACGUUCAUGCAGAAGGCCAAUCACAAUAUAGCAGCUUUGUUUUGAUUCCUCUGCUUUUCUUACGUGAACUUCUGCAAGUUCUUAAGCUUUUGCUUCAGUCAGAAUGCGAUGUAGAUUCAGCGAUAUCAGUAGCUUCUGUCAGGACUAUUUUUACCCUCUUCUUUUGUAUGGAAUCUUCUUUCUUCGGAGCAAGAUUAAUUGGACAAUGCAUAUUACAUACUCAUGUGUACUAA